CUUUUUUCCUCUGUAUUUAAAAUACAUGUAUUUUGCUAAUACGUUGCUGGAGGGGCAUUAUAAGGAGAUGGCAUUCGUAAGUUGUCUUUUUAGGUGCUCCUGGGGCAAGUAGUGAGACAAUGCUUUUUAUAUAGUACUUUAGUUAUGAAAUGUGCUGUGUGUAUAGCUAUUUGUGCAUUGCAUUUUCUCUUUUUAGCUCUCUCACACUGGAUCUUCUGUAGUUUUAAGAUAUAAACAUUUAAGACUGUUCUUCAUGACUGUCAAAUGAUUUUUUUUUUAAUUAUUUUUUUCUGUAGAGAGAUUGUUAUGGUGGGGGGAGGAAGUUCAGAUUUACAUUUUAUUAGUAGUCUGAAACAUUGUCCAGGGUUAGGUCUAUGUGUGGGAAAUGGAUUUUGUGACUUUAUUUGCAGUCUUGAUACUUUUGUUUUUCAGGUGUGGUAUAAAUUAGUGACUUCAGUAAUUAUUUUGGCUGUGGAACAAAACCUUACAGUUGAAGUUAGAUGCCUGUUAUGAUAUUAAUUAAAGGUUACUCAGUACUCAAUUCUGUGGGUGGUUUUGGAGUUAUUCUUGAAGCUUGUUGCAGGCCACUGAAGAUGUGCUAAAAUCAAAAUUUCCCGGAGGUUGUCUGUCUUGAUUUGAAGUAAUGAUUGAUUAGAGCAAAUGUGUAUGGCAUGUAUUAUUUUUACUGUCUAUUUGUAGGCUUUCACAUGUUCAGCAUGCUGUUCUUGCAGUAAAGAGGGCAGUAGUGUCUUUCCAACAGCUCUUUGGGUAAACAGAGUUUUCACUAAUUCUGCUGUACCGAGUGUGCUGUCUGAUCCAGUGUAAGACUUGGAGAAAAUAUAAGAUGUUUGACACUAUAAUCUGUUUUGCCUGCACUCUGAAAGUGUUAACUUGUUGAUCAUACUGUGAAGAGAAUUUCCCUGCACACUGAGGUAAUACAAGCUUUUCUUCAGUUCAGUAGAGGUAAAACACGUGCUUUUUUCCAAGAUAGGUGGUUCACUUGGAGGGGGGGACAAAAAGUUUUUGUUUUGGCAUUGCAGCCUAAUGUAAACAGAUGUUCAGGAAAGAAAGAAGGAUGUAUUCCCUUGUCCACAAGAAAGUGUUUCCAUAUUGACUCGAGAAUAUCAAAUCUGUAACAUUCCUGAAGCCUGUCAUCUUUUUUUUAUUCUGUCUUUGACAGAACUUAUCUAUAUACUUUCUCUAGAUACAUUUUAAAGAAAUGAGAUUAUUGGAUUAUAACUCUGUUCCUUUUUUUCUACUCACAGAAUGAAGUGGUGAGGAAGCUAGUUUUGUAGGACAUCUAAGUUGUUGGAAGAACAGUGUUUAUAGAGUGCAAGGAGUUUUGAAGAUGAGCUGUUGAAGCUGAUUUCCAGAUAUAACAGAGAGAAGAGUAACCUGACUUGAAUGGAGCAAUAUUUAUAUCUGUUGCGUCCCCUAAAGUUGAUAUUUUCUCCUAAUUAUUUUUUCAGGAUCUCAGCUUCAGACAACUUACAAAAUUGACAGCAAAAUUUGCAGCUAAGGCAAAACUGGGGGAAGAAGAUGAUAUAAUAAAUUACCAGAGGUUAGAAGUUUGAUUUUUAUUUGGCCCAUCGUACAUACUGGGUCUGACAUCUGUCUCAGUGAGAAAGCAACUUCCUUGGAAAGCAUAGAAGAGUGUGUGUAUGUGUGUGUCUGUGGCUGAAUCUUGAUAUGUUUCAUUUCUAGCAUUAAGUUUUCUGAUUCAUGGAAGAGUAAAUCAUGGAGCUUGUGUAUAUAUAGUUCUGAAAUGACUACAGCUAAUAGCUUGUCAUCCUUCAUUAUUUCAGCCCCAUUUUGGCACUGGUCCAAUACUCGGGUAUGGUCACAUUGCUAAAAUGCUGAGUGAAUUUGUAGCAUGGCCCCUGCUAGCUGGGGGCUUUCUCUGCUCUCACUAACUUUGCUGUCUAGCCAGUGGAUUCUCACUGCAGGUGUGUCCCUGUCAGCCCCCAUUCUGUGUUCAGGUCCUACAGCCUCCUCUCCAAGCAGCAUCUCCUGUCCCAUUUCAGUUAUCUGCUCCUUUGGAACACCCUCCUUUCCUUGGGCAUGUUUCCUAUCUCCUUAAAAAAAAAAAAAAAAAAAAAAAAAAAAAAGCAAUUGCCUGUCUAAUAAAAUGAUGUCACUUCAUGCAAAACAGAGCAAGAAAAAGUAGUUUAUUAAAAAAUAUCAGCUAGUUGCAGAUGGAGAGUUGUGCUGUACAAGCAAGAACUUCACCAUGGAAGGCAACUGUUCCUUCUCUUUGUUGUUGUUUCUGAGAUCUGUAAAUGCUGAGAGUGCUUCAGCUUACUGGAAAUUCUUUGAAUAGUUCGAUUUAAGAAUUGCCCACUUAAGCUUUAGUGUUCUUCUACUUUAUGAUCACGUGAAUUAACUUACAAGUACUUGUAGCGUGGAGAAGUUUUAAAAGAAAACUCUUCAGUGUUGCCAGAACAGGUGGAUUUUGUGUAAUAUUCUGUUUUCAUUAUUUUCCCCUGUUUUUUGCAUAUACAGAAGUCUUUACAUGAAGGAGCUUUUUUCCAAUGUGUUAGCAUAAAUUCAAACAUUAGAAUCAAAUGUUUUGAAAAGUUAUAACUGUGAAAACAGGUUUUAAUGCAGGAGGACUUAAGCAGCAAUUUUGUGUAUAUUUUUAAGAUGUUUUUGGGCAAGACCUUAAACUUACUGAAGCAUUAACAAAUCUUGUAAAACUAGUUGGGUGACUCUCUCAGGAAAUCUUUUUGUGAUAGUGUUUCUCUGCUGCUUAAAAGCUAUAUAUUAUUUCAGUUUCUGGGAAUGAACAAGUUCCUCUGUAGAAAGCACAAAAAAUGUAGCAGUCUAGAGAGAAGGAAAAACAGUGCAAAAUGGUAUUUAGGAAUUUUAAAAUGCUGAUUCUCUUAUUACUCAAUGCUUUGUAUUGUACCAAGAUUGAUUGUAAAAUAAAUUUGAAAUGGCAGAAAUCUUUUUUGCAAAAUUAAAGUUUGUGAUAAAAAUAUACUUUCCUGUGGGCUGACUUUGUACCAUGCCUAAUUGUGACCUUGUAGCUGAUGCGUUUUGAGCCUGCUUGUGAGAAUUCAGAGGCUAUAAUAGUUUUACUACUUUAAUACAAAUCCUUUUCAUUUUCACCAAAAUGGAAGAACAUGCAUCUUCCAACAAAUGGCAGAAAAGCAUUUUCCAAAAAUAACAGUCGGAUUAAUACUUCAUCUGACAGUUUCUUUCUGUAAAAAUAAAUAAAUAAAAGUGGUGGGGAAAGAUGUAUUUUGAAGUAAGAUAGAGGUUUUUGUACUCAGUACUAUUUAGAAUGAAUGAUACUAGUAACAGCUAAAGAGUUUACUAGGAAAGUUUUGCUAUAUUAGAAACUUCAUAAAUGGCAUAUACUUCUUGGAUUGAGGAACAUGGUCCAAUAUGAUGUACAGGGCUAGAGUCAACAACUCUAAUACAUUUCUGUUUCCUUUCCUGUUGUCAAAUUGUUUGAAAGAAGUGUUUAUUUGGUUGACAUUAACCUUUUUCCAGUUUGCACUUAAUUUUAAUCCAUUUUUCUCAAGUCCCUGAAAUUUCUUUUCUUAAAUGCUAAAACUCAAACUGAUGAAGCAAAACUGCUGUGGUCUUACUUAAAUGUAUAAUUAAGCAAGUUCCCUAUCAAUAGUGACAGCCACUGGCAGCAGACUUCUGUGACCAUUUAUUUUAACUUCUUAAAUGUAUCUAUUUCCCAGUGUUGAAUUGCUUCCUUAAUGACUAAUAAUUUCUGCUUGAUAAAUAACAUUUUGAAAAUACUGCAAAAUUUUCUUUGAGUGCUCCUAACACUUUGCAGUUACUCUAAAGUCUUUACAGCCCCAUACAAAGUUCAGCUGUUCAUUUCCUCCUAGUCUCUGCUGAACUGAUGUUAUGAAAUUCAGCUACUGAAUCCAUAGGUGAAUCAUGCCUUUGUAGUUUGGUUAAAGUCCAAUCCAAAAAUGUGCCUGCAAUGGUUUUUGUUUCUAAGGGCAUUACUGCCAAGAGGUUUCUAGUAUUUCUUCAUUAGAACUGGAUCACAAGUUCAGUUGCCACAAGAUCUACUCCUUGCUUCCCAGACUGUCAUGAGGUUUAAAGUACUCUUUCCUGAAAAUACAAUCAAGCUGUGCAACUUCUAAGAUAACUGAUUCAUCAGGAAAAAAGCUCAUCGGUUGUUAAGAACUAUAAUGGCAGAGAGAGAGGGGAAACAGAACAUUAAGAUACUGAGUAACGUGAUUUGCUCAUAUCUUAAAUAGCGUGUACAGUUUUGACUGCCUCAUUGCUUGAAGAAUAUAAUAAAGUGGAAAAAGUCAGUUUAAAAAAAAAAGGAUGAUACAAAACAUGAAAUGGUUUCUGUAUGAACAGCAACUGAGUAAGGCAGAACUAGAAAAGACUUGUUGGGGGGAGGUGACAGAGGUCUAUAAAACCAAGGAUUGCAUGGAGUUGGUGGAUAGGGAUUGUGUGUUCUCUCAGUCCAAAAACUAGGAACAUCAGACUAAACUAAUGGAGCUGUAUUCUGGCCAAAAAGAUGUGGUUCUUCAUGCAGUGAGUAAUACACCUGAGGAAGAGUUUGCCAAAUGUUGUAAAUACUAAAACUUCACAUGAGUUCAAGAUAUGACUAGACAAGUUCAAGGAGGAGAAAUUCAUUGAGGGUAACAAAAUGCAUACAAAUCAGAUCUGGUUCAGGAAAUCCUUGAAAGUAUUUGGAAACUGGGAAGGUAUUACAGGAGUAGCAUGUGUUUGCCCCAUUUUUAUUCUUCUUGGAGAUGUGCUUACGGGAACUUUUGGAGACAGGCUUGAUGGUUGAAUAGACCUUUGGUCUGACUUAGUAUGGUUGCUUUUAUAUUUGGGAGGCAUGUUUGAUAUACAUAGUUGCAAAUACAGAUCCCAAGACUUAGCACAGCCUCAAAAUACAUCUUUAUUUAACAAAUUUUAAAGGCUGAAGCCUCAGACAAACAGUCUGAGAGUGACCAAUUUCUUAAGUUCAGAACCUCCUCACUCAGCUCAUUCUGAGAAUGUAGUUAAGAAACAGCAGCUUGAUUAUCCCUGCUGCUGUAAAACCCAGCACUUCUCUUCCUGCCCAAAGUUUCCUGUUUGUGUCUCCUCCUUCCCUGAAUAUGUAAAGCUCACUUUAGAAAGUGUUGGUGUAACUACAAUCUUGCUGCUGACACCCAUCCAUUUCGCCAUACUCCAGCCACCUGUAAGCAAACCUGGCCAAACUCGGUUGCCAAGACCACAACUAGCUGUUGUCCUAAGAUCUAUUUUAGUAACAGCCCAUUAAGACUGAGUGACAUCCUGCAAACUGUAGCUGGAUGCAGAGAUGUUCAGUGAUAUGGGGUUUACUUAAAGCUCUGAUUUCCUAGCAGGGGUACCACGAUCCCAUGUAGUGAUUCCUGCCUCUGUUGCAAGGAUGGCUCUGCCGCUGACGUAGCAGCAGCUGAGCGCCUUCAAAAUACAGCCAAUGUUGAAAGGGAAAUUCAGUGCAGUUUCAAAACAGCAUGAUCUAAUUUGGGACUACUGCUGAAAUAGGCAGCCAUUCCCUCCUCUGCUUCCUUCCUUUGCUGCCGCCGGCUCCCCCUCUCUUGCGUUACCUAAAGAUCACACAACACUGUGGUGACUGUUACUGUAAGCCUAGCCUUCAGGGGAUUUGGAGGGCUUAUUCACUUUUUGGAUCAGUGAGCCAAUCUGUCUUGCCAGCAGCGGUUGGCAUAAAUGUGCAGGCUUUAAAAAAAAAAAAAGUCUGAGCAGCUUUUCAGAUGUGGUUUGUACCUGGGAUCAGGAGCUGGCUGGUGGAAGGGGGCUGCUUGGAGGUGGAGCCCUGCCGGGUCUGUCUCCUCGCGAGCCUGAGCUGCUCCCUGCUCUUGGAUGUUCUUGUGCAUAGCUGAGGGUGGCAGUGCUGGGAAAUAGAUUGCAAAACAGUUUUCCUAAUUCAUCAUCCGAAGCUAUUACUGGAGGUUUUUAAAUCUAACCUCUUUUGCCUUAACCCAUUGUAAUCCUAGAGGAGCAAGGCAUAAUUUAGGUAAGGCAGAUUGAUUAAAAAUGUUGCAGAUGGCUGCCAUCUCCUUCAGCUUUGUUCCCAGUUGUGAAUUUAACUCACUGAGGAUGAAGUGGUGUCAGUAGUGACACAUGCAGACGUGGGUCUUUGGAAGAUGAUCAGAAGUUCAGAGUUGUGAAUGGCAAGGUGAAAUUGGUGGCCUGAUAUAAAAUAUUAGGCAAACUAAUAUGGGGUUUGGACAGAUAAAGUGUUACAAGGUGAAUGAAAGUUUUUGUCAAAAUACAAGAUGUUACUUGAAACACUAUAAGGAAAAGUUCACUGGAAGAGUAAAAUCAAAAGGAAAAAAGACUAAACGUGAAACUUGACAGAACCCACUCAGAAAAUAAGAAAAGGACUUCAGAAAGAUAUAUUGCAAAAAUAACCAUGUGGCAAAAUAGAAGUAGGGAGAAGAUUUAUCUCCAGCCAAAGAAGAACAAUUUUACUAGAAGAAUGACUGACUCCUUGCAAGUUAACACUGGUAAAAAUGGAAUGUUUGUUCUGAGAGCUGUGGAAAGGUCACUGAAGGCUUUGGAGGAUUGUUUCAAUUAAUCCCUUUCUAUUUACUGUCUUGCUUCUUCCAGGAAGAACACUUAAUUAAAAAAAAAAAAGUUUGAAAAUAUUGCAAGACUGUCUCUUGGUCAAAAGAAUAAUAAUUUCUGGGAGUGGGAGAGAAAAUAUGCUAAUAUGGUGGUCGCUUUUUUUAAAUCGAAGUUUUUCCUUUAUCAAGAACAUAAAAAUUCCUCCUCCAAACUUGUAUUAGACAUUUGCAAGUUGAAGACUAAAUUUCAUUAGAGAAGAGAAUGGAGAAACUUGGAGAUGGGCGAGUUGGUAUCAGCUGGCAUUUUCUUUUGCGAAGUUGUACUGUGACAGUGUACUAUUUUCAACAUAUUUUUACUGCCAGUAUGAACCUAGAAAUAACUCCUAGGAAUAAUGAAACACUAAUUAAAUUGUUUGGGUUGAUGGUGAAAUUCCUUUUCUAAAUCAUGUCAUUGCAUGGUAGAGUUUAAUCUUUUCUACUGCGUAGCUGUGAUCCAAAGUUCAGAUGAAAAACAACUGGCAAACACACAAUAAGAUAUGGUUGAUGGGUUAGAGGAAAUUACAGGACCUCUUUGAUACCUGUUUGUUUAAUUGAGGGAGUCUAGGAAAGCUGGUCACUCCAGGAUACAGGAAACUGUGUGCUUUAUAGCUGCCUUCAGAUCGAGUAACUGUGUGCAUCUCUACUUGUGCCCUUAAAUACUGGUUAGUAAGUAUAUUGCAUUUCUGUUCUUCAGAGAGCAAAUCUAAUAGAUUUUUACAAAACUAACAGAUUUUUUUAAUUCAAAGACGUGUCCUUCAGGACUUCACCAUUUGAUUUGGUGGAAAGUAUCUUUUUUCUUUCAGUGUGCUUCAUCAGUUCAUUGGAUCUAACAAAAAGUCAGGGGACUGAAACCGAAACCCUUAAUUUUUAGCUGAAGGAGGAGGUUUAAAAGGGCAGCUCAUGUUAAAAAGAAAACCUUCUUUGAGAUGUGAUGUGCAUAGGAAAGUUUAUAGGUAUCAAGAGAACAAUAUGUAGUAGAGAUCUUAGCUAUGAAUUUUGAAGUGCAGUAUGAGCAUGUGAGUGAUCCACAUGGAAGAGAAGACAAGUCUUGGAGCUGAGGUAGAGCCCUAAGAAACAUCUCUUGUCAGGUCCUUGGAUGAUGACCCAUAACUGUACUUUGCCACUGACUGACUGCUCUUUUCUAGGUAUGACUGGGGUAUGAGAGGGCAGUUCUAGACACAUGAGCAACCAGGUUUUGAACUCAACAAAUGCUUCGUAAAUGUGCCAUACUGUCACUUCUGAGGGCCUUGUAGAUUAAUUCUAAAUUACUGUUGUAGAGAGAACAGAUGAUAAUUUCUUCUUAGGUUAUGGAAUCUGUGGAAUUGUUAGUUUUGCUAAAUUAUUAAAUAUAGUAUUUAUUUAGUUAUAUGAUAUAAUUUAAUUCACAGUAAAGUUGUUUUUGAGCAUUGUUGUUUUCCAGGAGAAAACAUGGGUGAUGUUAAGUUGUCACUCCUGUGCAUCUCAUUUUUUAUUUUCUUUCAGCUUUUACAUAAGCUUUCUUCUCUACUGUGAGUUUGACCCUACUCUGCGGUGUACGGUAGACUUUCUAACAACGCUGAAACAACUUACGCACCUACUUCUCUUUUCUCACAGUUGUAUUUUGUGGCAUAUCCCAAUUUACGUCAUUUCAGUGCAAGUGAUCCUGUGUGUGUGUAUUUUUCUAGUCUUAUUAUCCUUUAUUGAGGCAAGAUAAAAGCUGCUUGAGUUCUUCUAAAAUCCAUGUAAAUACAGUGUCAUGUCUGUAGAGAUAUGAGGCUGUUACGCAAUGAUGAGAGUGAGUGAGUGGAUACAACUCAGAUAUUAAGAUAUAAAAAUGUAUUUUUGUUUAUGAACAGCAGGUAUGACAGAGCAGGAAAAAAAAGCAUGAAAAGGGAAUUAGUUGAUUACAGAUGAGGCACUGCUGAGCAAGUUUUAAUAGAGAGCAAGAGUUUCCCUUGGAAGAAAUACGUUUUCAAGGAAGCUCAAGGUUGACUGGUUAGAUAUAGAUAGAGGUAUACAACUGCUGUGAAUUACAGACUCCUGAUACUUAAAGAGGCAUCAGAUUGAGUUCACUAUUACUGGAUGGUGCAAAAAGUUGCAUUAUGACAGUAGUGUUGCUUAAUACAGAGAUUUGGUUAUUAUAUUAUUGGAUAAUAUGAUUCUAAACAAGAAGAUAAAUUUGGUGAUGUAAUGAUUAAUGCUUACUUCUGUUUCAGUGCAGUAAAAAGUUUUUUCAGAGCUGAUCAUGAUUUAAAUUUUUCUGGUGUAAAUGCCACCAAGUUGCUGUUGAGGACAAUAAGGUUGCUAAUUUAGUUUCAUAAUCAUAACUUCUAUUGAAAUAGAAAGAAAGCAGCUAAAAAUCAGAAUCUGCAGUGCCUACUGUAGCCAAAUUAAAUGAUGCUACUCUUGACACAGGGCAGGAGGGAAGGCGAGCUAGCUGUGGGAUGGCUUCUUACAUUGGUGAGGAAAUAUGCUGAGGAAAGUGGGCAGAAGCAUGAUUUUCCUUUUUCCUCCUCCCUUCCCACCUGCAUGCUGUCAUUAUCUCUCCUUUUCAAUCAGUAUAACCCAAUCCCAAGUAUUCACUUUGACAGUUCCUUAAAUUGGCCUAAGUGCUGGAGAGUUGGUACCAGAAAGCAUCCCGAGCACAGAGACAUCAUGCGGUAGAGUUACUGUACUCUUCUGCAGAGGCUUAUUAACCCACAAGAUAUUUUUCAAAUGUAACCUUUUUUUUGCACUGUAGGAUGCAGUCUUGUGGUCCCCCUCCCAUAUACGUGGUCAGGGAUGGGGCGGAGAAAGAUUAUCAGUUUUAGAUAAAAAUAGUCUUUCUGGAAAAGAAAAUUGGAAAACCAUUUGUGGUUGAAAAACAACAUGUGUUUUUAUUGUCAGACUUGAUAGUGUUUAUUUCUUAAUUUCUGAUAUUUUUGGAGAAUGUCAGACUUCAAAACAUUGGUCUGGUAGCUUAAAAUUUUUGUGCGUUCUCUGGGGAUUGAAGUCUUCCUUCUCUUUAGCUUUGUUUUGUUUAGGAAAUUGUGCUAAAUCUUGAAAGCAUUUACUGUAAAAGUUCAUAUGCUCAGGCUUGAAAAAUCAUUAGAUUUUAACUAAUCAGCAUAAAAAGCGUUUGCUAAAUUUUGUCAAAGGCUUUGAAAUAAGGGGGUGAAACACUUGUUCACAAGGUGUAUGGUGAAAUUAACUUCUGACAUAUAUUUCAAAAAUAUUUUGUUUCAUUUUGUAUUUCUUUUCUAUUGAAGUUUUUGUAUUGUAUUCACACUGGCAAUACCUGGCUCCAGCUUGUUUUUCUGUUCUCUAAAUAGGUUAUAGCAUAUGUUUGCCUCUAUAGCUUUCUUUGUGUUUCCUGUUUUCCUGUUCUGACUCACUGUUUACCUGUACCUAAACAUUUCUGUGCCUCCCCUCAUAUGUCUUUCCUCUGUACAGAUACUGUAAAAUAUGUAGGCUCUAGUUGCUCUUUGUAUGCUGCAAGUAGGAAUUUAAACUGUUAAAUCUUUGCACUGUUAAUGUUUAGGUGGCCACCUACAUACAAGUAUUUCUAGAGCUUAUUUCUGGCUUUUUUUUCAUAGCUUUCUUGGAAAACAAGAGGGCUAAGACUAACUAGAUAUUGUUAUCUUCACUGUUUUCUUCUACGCUGCUAUACACCAACAGUGAAAACAAAUCCUAAUUCCUCUGCUUCUCUGGGUGUGCGAGUUACGUUGGAGGCUAGGGACAGCCAGCAAUGUACAGACCUCAGUGUUGCAUUGGUGCAUUUUGGAGUGUUGUCUUCAUAAACAUGCUUAUAUUCUUUAUAUAGGUAUAUUUUUUAGAGAAAAUCGGAAGUGUUGUUUGCUUAGAGGAAAAACUUUUGCUAUCCAUGAGCAAAUAAGCAAUUUUUUCUCAUCUCUGUGCCGUACUACUCCAAGAUGCCUUUCAUAACAAAGUUCUCACGGCACUGAGAAGGGAGAAUCAGAACAAGCUGGAUUUGCUGCUUUCUGGAAGAACUCCUACCUAUUGAAGGGUAUAUUGAAAAAAAAUCUAUGCAAAUUAGUCUGUAAUCUAAACAAAAGAUGCUGAAAUCUGUAUUGGGUCAAUGAAAGUUGAGAAGAAAUAUCAUUGUCUUAAAAUCGUUUGGUCAUGUGUUUUCUAGCUAUUAUGUUUUAUUCAUGUUGUUUUAAAAUAUCUCCAGCUCUCUGAAAUUAAUCAACUGCUGUAUUUUAAAUUAAUGUUAAUGUAUGUUAGUUUCUGUCCUGUGAUGUACAUGGGAGGAAAGAACUUAGAGCUGCAUCAGUGAUCUGCAAGAGGAAAGCAUAAAUUCUGUCUUACAUCUCUUGUUGGUAUCAGUUGGCUUUAAAUGUUGCACUCAUGUAUUUUAGUAAAAAUAAUUACCUACUUUUGCAAAGUAAUCUCGAAUUGCCUUAUUUAACCUGGUAUUAUUAACCUGGUAUUUUGUGUAGCUGCUAGUUGGUCAUACUGCCGUUAGGGGUGAACAUUACUAUUCAGAAGGUAUGGUAGCUUUGAUUUUGUGAGAAAGAUGUGAAUAUCUGGAAUUUGCCAAGAAACAUAACUUUAAGAAUGCCUGUGUAUACAAUCAAUCGGUAGUGAACUGAGGAAAGCCAGAAUGGCAGUGUUUAAUUGAGACUUUUAUUAUGAUUUCCUUUUAAUUUAAAUGGCAUCAUAGAAACCUGUUUUUUUCGCUCAGUCUUUAUUCAGUUCUCAGUUUUGAGAGACAGAUGGUUGAGGCACAACAGCAACUGACAGCAUAACAUGGUGUUUUGGAAACUGUCUAAAUAAGAGUUAUCUAUGAAUUUAACUUAAUUAUUUUUGAAGUUGUUUAAUUUCUUCCAGAUUAGUUUUAAGAUUAUUCAGGACAAAGUAUUCUUGGACCAAUGAAAUUUGUACUGUUUUGGUUCCUGUGUUAGGCGUGGAUCCGUUGUUUUCUUCUUUAGUAUGUCUUGUGGUAGCUUCAGGAAAAAACACAACUGCAGGAAUAUUUUGCUGUAGAGAAGGAGGAACAAGGGAAAUUACAUAGAGGCUGUCACUAAAAAGGAUGAAGAGAUCCCUUCUGGUGUGAAAAGCCUUGUCUUCUGCAUGCUGGUCAGCAGCAGCUUGAGAUGUGUCAGAUGUCACUUUUCUGGGCAAGCAGAGUUCUUCCAUACUGUUAGGCCAAUGAGUCACCUGCCUGAUGUUGAGUACUUUUAUACAGUCUUGGCAAAAUAAUACUUACGGGUGUUAAAAUAUGUAUUCAAAGUAGUGAAAUUGUGACAUGUGACAUUUCUUUAUCAAUAAAUGUAUCUGUUGUUUGUUUUUGUAAAUAAUGUGUUUGAAAGUGAAUGUGGCAGUAGCAGGGCACAGAGGAGAGGGAUGGAGGGUGGGUGUUAGCUGUUGGCUCAUAUUCAACUAGCUUCACAUUUACCUUGAAACUUGCCCUGUUGCACUGGAGAUAUGCAUGCUACUUCCACAACAGAAUUUGGCACAGUGUUAGCCUAGUGGUAUAGUACUUGCUUCUGGUUUGUUUAACUUAAGAUUAAAAAAAAAAAAAAAAAAAAAAAAAAA